AACGAGCUAAUGGGAUACUAUUUCCGGCUGGAUUUAGCUUAGAGCUCAACAACAACGAAGAGAUUUCUGGGGAUUUUGGCGCUGGUUGGGUUAUUUCAACGAGCCGUCGUCGUUUCCGGUAUAGUUCUGAUGAUGGCAUCGUCGCGCCAACGAAAAACCACGAUGGCCGGUCUCUUCCGANNNNNNNNNNNNNNNACAAUCUCGUCGGCAGAACUCUCACGAGUCUCGCCCCUGUCUUCUCUCUUUCUCUCGACCUCUCACUCUCUUCUCACCAUCUCCCUGCGUGUAGUGAUGUGUGUAUGCAUUUGUGGUGGAGAAGAUGAGUGUAAAAUGGCUGCU
rnacentral:lncRNA from 1 species